rnacentral:rRNA from 1 species
GUGGGGAAUAUUGGACAAUGGGCGAAAGCCUGAUCCAGCCAUGCCGCGUGUGUGAAGAAGGUCUUCGGAUUGUAAAGCACUUUAAGUUGGGAGGAAGGGCAGUAAGUUAAUACCUUGCUGUUUUGACGUUACCGACAGAAUAAGCACCGGCUAACUUCGUGCCAGCAGCCGCGGUAAUACGAAGGGUGCAAGCGUUAAUCGGAAUUACUGGGCGUAAAGCGCGCGUAGGUGGUUUUGUAAGUUGGAGGUGAAAUCACCGGGCUCAACCUGGGAACUGCCUCCAAAACUGCAUGACUAGAGUACGGUAGAGGGUAGUGGAAUUUCCUGUGUAGCGGUGAAAUGCGUAGAUAUAGGAAGGAACACCAGUGGCGAAGGCGACUACCUGGACUGAUACUGACACUGAGGUGCGAAAGCGUGGGGAGCAAACAGGAUUAGAAACCCGGGUAGUCC